CAACUUAUAGCUCAGUCAGUAAAGAAUCUGCCUUCAGUGCAGGAGACCCGGGUUCGAUUCCUGGGUUGG
rnacentral:tRNA from 1 species